CUGUGGCUGUGCACAGUGUGCAGUACUGAGGCUGACCCUGGCUGAGGAUUACCAGUGGCUGUCAGAAGGCAAGGAGAGCAGUGCUAGAGGAAGGAAUAAGUCUGUGUACACGCAAUAUGAGUGGCCGAGGGCAGCGUGCGGCCCUGCAUCGCAUCAGAUCAGCUGCCCCAUCACGCCCGUCACAUUCUGGGCCAAGGAGAACCUCGGAUGGCAGGCAGCACAGCGGGGGAGGCGGCGGUGCCAGGCCAGGAGGAAGUUGGCGAUGGCUUUUACCAUCUGGCGAGGGAGCAGCCGUGGGUGGUGGCAGCAACUCGGCGAGCGGCGUGGAGGAGGGAGCCGCCAGGGUGGACCACGCCUACAGCCUGCACGUCACCGCCCGCCACUAAGGGCUGUGGGCGUGCAUGACUGCCAACCAAAGACUCAGCCCAGAGGAAGUGCCAGGCCAGCACCACCACAGGGACAGAGGAUGAGGAGGAGAGUGUUCCAGCGCUGCUCCAACUUAAUGCUCAUGGGCCACGCUGAGCCCUGCUGAGAUGUCCUACCCGGUGGUCGGCCUCCACCCCUACACCUCCCACUGGUUCCUCCUGCUGCCCCACUACAAGGGUGUGCCAGGAGUGCCCUCCAGCCUGCAGUCCUUGGGUGGCUGAACGCCCUUGAGGUAAAAAUGAGGUGCCUGGCGGAGCUGCUGGGUCCAUGUGACGCUGGAGGAGCCCGGUGCUGCCUACCUGGGGCCCACACACUCUUCAGCAUCUCCCUGCCUUGUUACACCCACUGACAACAAAUGCUGUGGAGGUGUUGUGAGGGGCCGUGGCAGUGUGUUGGUGUUCCUGGUGGAGCACAGCUGGACAGUGCAGGUGGCCAUGCAGCUCCCAGGGGAGACUUUGUGGCAUUUUUCACUCAAGCUGCAGUCUGUGCCUGGCUGUCCUGUAGCAGUGGCAGAAGCAAUGCCCGGCCAGGCCAUCUCCUGCGCCUUACCACACAUGGCUGUGCCAAACAACCUGAAGGAGGCUACCACUCAAGCCAUGCUGGAGCUGACUGACAUGACGCACUCUUGGACUGAUAAGCUUCUUCUAGAGUCCGGGUUGACGGGUGGUCUUCAGGACAGCAUGUGGGUAGUUUCAGGCCACUCGGCGGUGACUGAAACAUCCCAGGUGGUUAGUGGCGGAUUCGAACCCACAUCAUGGACAACGCACCGAAUGCAAGGCCGGCUUGCUAACCACUCAGCCACCGCCUCCCCAAUAUGAAUACUUCUCCCUUGUUUUCGAAUACAAAUACCGAAUACAAAUGCUCCACCCCUGGUAGAGUAUGCAGUUUUAUGUAUUUUCCAAUUUUUGAUGAGAUGAUCAAUCUUUCAGGUCCUUGCUGUUGAGGAGGGAACCUGCAGACCUGUGUAUUCUGUGGAGCUGGCCGGCGACUCCUUCACUCCACCGCUUGACAUGCGGAAAGAACUUGCCUUCAUGGCCUUCCCUCUGUUUGAGUGGGCAGGCAAAGCAGUGGUUUAUAUUAAGUUACUGUUUUACAUAAUGUACUGAGGGAAGGAAAGUCUUCAAUAACCAGCUCUUGGGUCAGUUCCAUUUCAUCCAUUGUCAUGUAUGUAAGGGAACCAUUAGCCCCAUAUUUGUUGUUCUCUUAAGUGACAAAGAAAUGGAAGUAAGGGAACAAUUAACACAUUUUUAUUGUUCUCUUAAGUGACAAAGAAAUGGAAGUAAGGGAACAAUUAACACAUUUUUAUUGUUCUCUUAAGUGACAAAGAAAUGGAAGUAAGGGAACAAUUAACACAUUUUUAUUGUUCUCUUAAGUGACAAAGAAAUGGAAAUCAGUCAUGUAGACUCUGCAUCCCCAUAUCAAGUCUUUCCUAGAGUAUCUUAAAAAGCAUAGAUGACUUAAUGACCAGAGAUUGGAAUGUCCUCCUUACUAGAUCAGCACAGCGGUCAUAGCACAUCAUAAUAAGUAAGGGUUGUAUCUGGGAGUGUCUUGCAUGUGUGUGUAAUUCACCACAGCCUGAUCACGAGUUGGACUCACUUUCGCCAGCAGGUACCCUCCCGACAUGAACAAGUGCUCAUUAUUGUCGAUCUCUGGGUACUGCCAGGACCUCACACACCCCAUCCCCCUUGCUCAAGGGGGGACAGUAAACACUCCUAGUCAACGGAAAGAAUCCGGCCUGAGUGGCAGUGUGUGUGUGUGUGUGGCUGGAUGUCUAGAUCACCACAGGGGUCAUAACACAUCAUAAUAGAUAAGAGUUAUUUUGUAUCUGGGGGUGUCUUGCAUGUGUGUGUGUGUGUGUGCAUGGCUGGAUGUCUAGAUCACCACAGGGGUCAUAACACAUGAUAAUAGAUAAGAGUUAUUUUGUAUCUGGGGGUGUCUUGCAUGUGUUUGUGUGGCUGGUGGCCGAAUACAAUGCUUUACAUCUUUCAGGGAAGGACACAUGAUCUCCCUUCCAUCACAUUUGCACAUUCUGCCUGAUUCUUCUCUUUCCUCCUCAUGGCCUUCAGCAUUUCCCAAUAGAAAGUCUAAACAAGAAGCAAAGGUUCUAAAAAUCACAGGAAAUUAUUAGAAAUUUUUAUUUUCACAUACAGAGCCAAUGUCUUUAUGUACCUGAAAUAACAUGAAUUAUUGAUAUAUAUAUA